rnacentral:rRNA from 1 species
CCUUGGUGCUAUUUCGUUGGUUAUGGGACUGAGGUAAUGAUUAAUAGGGACAGUUGGGGCCGUUCAUAUUUCGUUGUCAGAGGUGAAAUUCUUGGAUUUACGAACGAUGAACUUAUGCGAAAGCAUUCGGCAAGGAUGUUUUCAUUGAUCAAGAACGAAAGUUAGGGGAUCGAAGACGAUCAGAUACCGUCGUAGUCUUAACCAUAAACUAUGCCAACUAGGGAUCAUUGAGUGUCAAUCUACGACCUCAUUGGCACCUUGUGAGAAAUCAAAGUUUUUGGGUUCCGGGGGGAGUAUGGUCGCAAGGCUGAAACUUAAAGGAAUUGACGGAAGGGCACCACCAGGAGUGGAGCCUGCGGCUUAAUUUGACUCAACACGGGGAAACUCACC